UACGGGGGGGGGCAAGCGUUGUUCGGAAUUACUGGGCGUAAAGCGUGCGCAGGCGGUUGUGCAAGACCGAUGUGAAAUCCCCGGGCUUAACCUGGGAAUGGCAUUGGUGACUGCACGGCUAGAGUGUGUCAGAGGGGGGUAGAAUUCCACGUGUAGCAGUGAAAUGCGUAGAGAUGUGGAGGAAUACCGAUGGCGAAGGCAGCCCCCUGGGAUAACACUGACGCUCAUGCACGAAAGCGUGGGGGAGCAAACAGG
rnacentral:rRNA from 1 species